AACUCCAGAUUCUGAAAAUGAUGCCCAAUUAAAAGUUACUGAGCUCAUCUUGCCCUUCCACAGUGUUUUAGGUUGACCGCCGCUGCAACGACAUUCCUUUGGCUGGAUCGUUGCAGCCUGUUUUUCCUGUCACCUCUUAGCAUCGAUUGCUGUAGUGCUUUGUGGCUGCUGGAAUCAAGUGGCGCCAUCUCUAGAGGGGUAAUCACAGUCGUUUCGGGCAGUUGUGAAAUCGUGUGUAGAAACUGCUUCCGUACAAUCUCGAAGUGAUCAGCCUGUGGAGUGGCUGACUGCGAAAGACUACACCUGAUGAUAGCUCCAAGGGCUUCAUCACUUCUGGGAAGGAGGGAGUGGUUCUGAAGCAUUUGUUCUCAUCUUUUCUGCCUCCUAAACAAAAAUGUUUCCUGUUUUGGAACACAAGAUUGGAAAAUGUUGCUUUGUGAAGCAGAAGCUAACAGAAAUCAUAAAAAUAAAUAAACAAAUAAAUACUG